rnacentral:rRNA from 1 species
GACGAACGCUGGCGGCGUGCUUAACACAUGCAAGUCGAACGGAAAGGCCCUGCUUUUGUGGGGUGCUCGAGUGGCGAACGGGUGAGUAACACGUGAGUAACCUGCCCUUGACUUUGGGAUAACUUCAGGAAACUGGGGCUAAUACCGGAUAGGAGCUCCUGCUGCAUGGUGGGGGUUGGAAAGUUUCGGCGGUUGGGGAUGGACUCGCGGCUUAUCAGCUUGUUGGUGGGGUAGUGGCUUACCAAGGCUUUGACGGGUAGCCGGCCUGAGAGGGUGAGCGGCCACAGUGGGACUGAGAUACGGCCCAGACUCCUACGGGAGGCAGCAGUGGGGAAUAGUGCACAAGGGGCGGAAGCCUGAUGCAGCAACGCCGCGGGCGGGAUGACGGCCUUCGGGUUGUAAACCGCUUGCGCCUGUGACGAAGCGUGAGUGACGGUAAUGGGUGAAGAAGCACCGGCUAACUACGUG